rnacentral:rRNA from 1 species
AUAUGGGGGGACCAUCCUCCAAGGCUAAAUACUCCUGACUGACCGAUAGUGAACCAGUACCGUGAGGGAAAGGCGAAAAGAACCCCGGCGAGGGGAGUGAAAAAGAACCUGAAACCGUGUACGUACAAGCAGUGGGAGCACCCUUUGGGGUGUGACUGCGUACCUUUUGUAUAAUGGGUCAGCGACUUAUAUUCUGUAGCAAGGUUAACCGUAUAGGGGAGCCGGAGGGAAACCGAGUCUUAACCGGGCGUUAAGUUGCAGGGUAUAGACCCGAAACCCGGUGAUCUAGCCAUGGGCAGGUUGAAGGUUGGGUAACACUAACUGGAGGACCGAACCGACUAAUGUUGAAAAAUUAGCGGAUGACCUGUGGCUGGGGGUGAAAGGCCAAUCAAACCGGGAGAUAGCUGGUUCUCCCCGAAAGCUAUUUAGGUAGCGCCUCGUGAACUCAUCUCCGGGGGUAGAGCACUGUUUCGGCUAGGGGGCCAUCCCGGCUUACCAACCCGAUGCAAACUGCGAAUACCGGAGAAUGUUAUCACGGGAGACACACGGCGGGUGCUAACGUCCGUCGUGAAGAGGGAAACAACCCAGACCGCCAGCUAAGGUCCCAAAGUCAUGGUUAAGUGGGAAACGAUGUGGGAAGGCCCAGACAGCCAGGAUGUUGGCUUAGAAGCAGCCAUCAUUUAAAGAAAGCGUAAUAGCUCACUGGUCGAGUCGGCCUGCGCGGAAGAUGUAACGGGGCUAAACCAU